rnacentral:rRNA from 1 species
UGCCAGCCGCCGCGGUAAGACGAACCGUACAAACGUUAUUCGGAAUCACUGGGCUUAAAGCGUGCGUAGGCGGCUUGGAAAGUUGGGUGUGAAAUCCCUCGGCUCAACCGAGGAAUUGCGCCCAAAACUACCCAGCUUGAGGGAGAUAGGGGUGAGCGGAACUAAUGGUGGAGCGGUGAAAUGCGUUGAUAUCAUUAGGAACACCUGUGGCGAAAGCGGCUCACUGGGUCUCUUCUGACGCUGAGGCACGAAAGAUAGGGGAGCGAACGGGAUUAGAUA